rnacentral:rRNA from 1 species
CCUACGGGUGGCAGCAGUGGGGAAUAUUGCACAAUGGGCGAAACCCUGAUGCAGCAACGCCGCGUGAGUGAAGAAGUAUUUCGGUAUUGAAAGCUCUAUCUGUAGGGAAGAAGAUGACGGUACCUGUAUAAGUAGCCCCGGCUAACUAGGUGCCAGCAGCGGCGGUAAUACGUAGGGGGCCAGCGUUAUCCGGAUUUAGUGGGUGUAAAGGGAGCGUAGACGGCAUAGCAAGUCUGAAGUGAAAGCCCAAGGCUCAACCAUGGGAGUGCCUUGGAAACUGUUAAGCUAGAGAGCUGGAGUGGUAGGCGGAAUGCAUGGUGUAGCGGUGAAAUGCGUAGAUAUUAGACAGAACACCGGUGGCGAAGGCAGCUUACUGGGC